rnacentral:tRNA from 1 species
UGCGGAGUGGAGCAGCCCGGUAGCUCGUCGGGCUCAUAACCCGAAGGUCGCAGGUUCAAAUCCUGUCUCCGCAAC